AUGCCAAGUAAGCGCAAAGUUUCUGGUGAUGGCCAUGAGGGUGUUCCUUCCAAAAAGCCGAAGCGCCCUCCACCUCGGAACAGGGCUUCGCCAAACUCACUUCUGGCUGCGUGUAAAGAUUUGUCUGAUGGUAGAAAAAAUGCUAUCGAUGAAAUGGACUUGAAAAGCCUUCGAGAGAUCAAGUGCGACCACCUCUUCAAUUUUCUUAGUGAGUGGCUUGCUGGGUUAUACGAGCCAGACUCCCGUGAAGUGGUUGUUCCGGGGCGUGGGAGGAUCCCUAUUAACGAAGAGUCGGUUCAUCGUGUGAUGGGCGUGCCCCGUGGCGGGAAUGAUGUCCCUUACAGUCUGCCCACAGAAGCUGAUAUUGAGUUCGGGAUUGAGAUGUUUGGUGAGCUUGGUUACACACCGAAGACGACUGAUGUCCUUAAUCUCAUAACUAGUUCUGCCAAUUAUGAUGAGAAGUUCAAGCGGAUGUGGCUUAUGCUUGCCGGCAAUACUGUCAUUGCUCCUACUACAUCCAACAAGAUCAGCCCUAGAUGGUAUGGUGUGCUGCAAAACAUUAAUACAGUCAAGGACUUGAAUUGGUGCAAGUUCAUUGCUGAUGAGCUCCAUAAGGCACUUUUGAAGGGGAGGCCUACAAAGGCGUGUCUUCUUUUCUACAAUCUUUUGUACAUUGAUGCUAUCGAUCUUACUGGUCUUGGUAUCUCAUUGCCCAUUGGAGCGUUUGCUAUCAAUGUUUGGACAAAAGAGAAGAUAUCUGAAUUGCUUAGUAUGGAUGUCCAAGCAGACGGAAUUUCUUAUGGAAAACUACCGUUGAAACCCCAGUUUGGUGUCGAUUUCUGGUUGUUUGGCGGUUUACAAGGUCUUGGGAACUUCAUGCGUGUGCAUGUCCCACCAAACUACAAUGAAGAGAAACUUGCAAAGGCUUCUAAGCUCGUGGGUCGGUUUUCAUCUGGCUUGGUUGGCCUGCUUGGCGAUCUUGUGCAAGGGUUCGUCUCACUUGAUGAUGAAGGUUGUUCAUAUGUGUCUCGUCGACUAGACACUGAUCUUAGGACGAUUUCUUCUGCUACCCGGAAUAUGGCAAAGCCCUCUCCUGCCCGCCGUACCCGUCAAUCGGAGAGUCCCGGCAAGAAUAUUAUGGAUGAGUCUGAUACUGACCAUGAUACGAAUGAAAAUGACGGGGACGAAUCUGAUGAUGAUGAUGAUGACUUUACGGUUUUGUAUCAUGGUUCUUCUUCCCGCAGCGGGGCAGAGAAUGUGGCCUCUGGCAGCAGGGCAGCGGAUGUGGAUACAACUCACACAGGCAAUGCAAACGCUGAAUUGCGUGACAGUGUAAUAGAAAAUGUAGAAGGCAUACCUGAUAGUGUCGCAGGAAAUGUGGACCCAACUCAAUCAAGCGAUGCAAACGCUGAAGCACGUGACAGUGUAGCGGGAAAUGUCGAAGGCAUAUCAGACCGUGCGGGCGAUGAACCUAUUAUUGAGUCCCAGAUAUUUCUCACUGGUACUUCUAACACGGUGUCAAGCAGCUCAAGGGAUGGCGUGCUCAGCCAGCGUGAUAUGACAGACACGCAAUUUGAUUUGGCCACUGAGUCUUCUGUUAAAAGAUGCGGUGCUUAG
rnacentral:rRNA from 1 species